rnacentral:rRNA from 1 species
UACGUAUGUGGCAAGCGUUGUCCGGAUUUACUGGGCGUAAAGAGCGCGCAGGCGGUCGUUCAAGUCGAGUGUGAAAGCCCCCGGCUCAACUGGGGAGGGUCACUCGAUACUGAUCGACUCGAAGGCAGAAGAGGGAAGCGGAAUUCCCGGUGUAGUGGUGAAAUGCGUAGAUAUCGGGAGGAACACCAGUGGCGAAGGCGGCUUUCUGGUCUGCUCUUGACGCUGAGGCGCGAAAGCUAGGGUAGCAAACGGG